GGCCUGGUGGUAGUGGUUACAUAUCCCUACUGUCUAUAAUAUUAAUAUCCAUAUGAAGGCUUCUGAGGAAGUUCCCUGUUCGAAUCAGGGCCAGGCCA